rnacentral:rRNA from 1 species
AUUGAACGCUGGCGGCAGGCCUAACACAUGCAAGUCGAACGGUAACAGGAAGCAGCUUGCUGCUUUUCUGACGAGUGGCGGACGGGUGAGUAAUGUCUGGGAAACUGCCUGAUGGAGGGGGAUAACUACUGGAAACGGUAGCUAAUACCGCAUAACGUCGCAAGACCAAAGAGGGGGACCUUCGGGCCUCUUGCCAUCGGAUGUGCCCAGAUGGGAUUAGCUAGUAGGUGGGGUAACGGCUCACCUAGGCGACGAUCCCUAGCUGGUCUGAGAGGAUGACAAGCGACACUGGAACUGAGACACGGUCCAGACUCCUACGGGAGGCAGCAGUGGGGAAUAUUGCACAAUGGGCGAAAGCCUGAUGCAGCCAUGCGGCGUGUAUGAAGAAGGCCUUCGGGUUGUAAAGUACUUUCAGCGGGGAGGAAGGGAGUAAAGUUAAUACCUUUGCUCAUUGACGUUACCCGCAGAAGAAGCACCGGCUAACUCCGUG